rnacentral:rRNA from 2 species
GGUUGCGAUCAUACCAGCACUAAUGCACCGGAUCCUAUCAGAACUCCGCAGUUAAGCGUGCUUGGGCGAGAGUAGUACUAGGAUGGGUGACCCCCUGGGAAGUCCUCGUGUUGCAACCC